GGAGCUGUGGUGUAGCCUGGUUAACAUACCUGCCUGUCACGCAGGAGAUCGCGGGUUCAAAUCCCGUCAGCUCCG
rnacentral:tRNA from 1 species